rnacentral:rRNA from 1 species
GAGUUUGAUCCUGGCUCAGGACGAACGCUGGCGGCGUGCUUAACACAUGCAAGUGGUGCGACGAACCAGGGCUUGCCCUGGGGCAAAGCCGCGAACGGGUGAGUAACACGUGAGUAAUCUGCCCCGAUGACCGGGACAACCCGAGGAAACUCGGGCUAAUACCGGAUGUGGUGCACAGGCAUAAGCCUGUCCACUAAAGGAAGCUUCGGCCUCCGCAUUGGGAGGAGCUCGCGGCCCAUUAGCUUGUUGGUGGGGUAACGGCCUACCAAGGCAACGAUGGGUAGCUGGUCUGAGAGGACGAUCAGCCACACUGGGACUGAGACACGGCCCAGACUCCUACGGGAGGCAGCAGUGGGGAAUCUUGCGCAAUGCGCGAAAGCGUGACGCAGCAACGCCGCGUGGGGGAAGACGGCCUUCGGGUUGUAAACCCCUUUCAGGAGGGACGAAGGUUCGCCGGUGAAUAGCCGUGCGGAUUGACGGUACCUCCACAAGAAGCUCCGGCUCCCUACGUGCCAGCAGCCGCGGUAAUACGUAGGGAGCAAGCGUUGUCCGGAAUCAUUGGGCGUAAAGCGCGCGUAGGUGGCCUCAUAAGUCCGCUGUGAAAGUCAAAGGCUCAACCUUUGAAAGCCGGUGGAUACUGUGAGGCUAGAGUACGGAAGAGGCGAGUGGAAUUCCUGGUGUAGCGGUGGAAUGCGCAGAUAUCAGGAGGAACACCAAUAGCGAAGGCAGCUCGCUGGGACGUUACUGACACUGAGGCGCGAAAGCGUGGGGAGCGAACAGGAUUAGAUACCCUGGUAGUCCACGCCGUAAACGAUGGGUACUAGGUGUGGGAGGUGUCGACUCCUCCCGUGCCGUCGCUAACGCACUAAGUACCCCGCCUGGGGAGUACGGCCGCAAGGCUAAAAC